UCUCAGACUCCCAGCCUCCAGCCCUGCCUGGAUCUCAGACUCCCAGCCUCCAGGACCGGGAUCAAUAAAUGUCUAUUAUUGAAGUCACCCCACCUGGGCUAUUUGUUACGGCCGCCCGAGCCAACUCCCACAGCCUAGUCUCCAGGAAAACAAUGCAUGCUGACGCUGGGUGAGUGCUCAAGGCUGUCCCCACCCUCAGCUGUGUCUGCACUGUGAGUCCUAGGGCCGAAGGAUGGGGACCACUGUCUGUUGCAUGCAGGGACCAGGAGUGGGGGCUCCUGUCUGGACCCUGGCAUGGAUGCCUGGUGACUCCGGAGGUGGGAGCUGAGGGCAGGUGUGAGGCUCUCGAUCUAUCCCCGAUCUCUGGCCGCCGGCUACGGAUGGCACCCGGCCCCUUCCCGGAGACGCUGCGAGUCUUCUCCGUUGGGAACAACGCUUUGCCUCCGGCGGCAAUCCCCGCCCCCCACCCCACGUAAGUCUCCCCUUUGCCCUUUGGUUCAGUGGUUCCAGCUUCCAGGUGGACAGAUCGGAGCUGUCAACAUUUGCCGCAGGGACAAGUUGCGAGCUCGCCCAUCGCUGCUGGCGGCUGCACGUCACGGCCUCGCCUUGCUCGGGAUGGAGCUAGGUGGCCUCCGUGCUGUCCUCCCCAGGCCACACCCUUCCUGGGGACCCCCGCCCCCCGGGAAGCUGCAAGGGAAGGCAGCUUGUCUACCCCGUGCAGACCUGCAGACUAGAGCCCGCGUCCCCGCCUGGACCACGGCUCUGGGACCCGUCAGUUUCGAAGCCCGGCCCUCGGUGACCUUAAUCCUUAACCCCCGAGGAAAUAGCGUGUGAUUACCCAGGAGUAACUUGCCUUCUACACACUAGCCAGACCCCGCGACCAUUCAUGCACACGCCGCCCGCCCUACCGGCUGUGUGUUUCAUAAAGCAACACAACAUGGCGGUUUCCCCAAGAUGUGGGUUCCCGUGUUCCUGCCGUGGGGAUGCUCACCCCCACCAGUUCGCCCUCCACCCCCCACCCCCGCUCCGCGAGGGACGCACCGAGCCCCGCACCCGUUUCCCUCCCAUCCCGAUCCCGCCCUGCCAUAGGAUCACGCCAAAGCCAUUGCCCUACCGAUGCGAGAAACGUCCACCUUACUGGUCAGCCAGCUUUCCGGAACGUUCUUGGAGCGUUGCAGCACGUUUGGAAGGUGCUGUCUUGCCCGGUUGAUUGCAGCGCUGCAGGCCGCGGUCCCCAGGACGGCACAGGGAACCAGCAGAAAGAGCCUGGCCAAGAGCCUCCUGCAUACGGAUGCCCACCCGCAGUUCGUGCUCAGGUCAGCAUUUGCAGAGACGCCUUAUCUGCCAUCCGCUGGGUCCUCCUUCUCAAUGAGCGACCAGCCUGCGUUAUCGCCCCGCCGGACAGGAAACGUUACAACACAGCCCGCCGUCUGUCUCAAGCUCGAAGCCGGCCCCUUGCUUUUAUCAGCAUCUUGGGGUUCCUCUUUUUUUUUUUUUUUUUUUGCAGCAGGAUGUCUCUGGCCACUUGCCCACCUAUUCCCUCUGGGGUGGUCAGGGUUUCUGUGCUCUGUGUCAUGUUCUGGAGACUUCUGGCCUCCGUGUCUGCGCUCACAUACGCUCCCCUCCACUUGCGGGAAGGCGAGCCCUUCCUACGCACUCAGCUCUGCUCGAUGUCGUGCGUGACAUGGUCCUAGCGUGUGUCCCCGAGGCUCCCCGGGGCGGGGAUGCAAGCCUCCAAUGCUUCCGCUCUGAGGGGACGGCUCCUUGCCACUUUGGGAGGCUGUGCCUUCCUUCUCUGACCGCCCUCCUCCGUGGAGCCUGGAUGGACGGAUCCAGUGGGAGAGCUCGGGAAGUGGUUGCUUCUCGUACUAGCAGGGUCAUUAUGCCCCCAGCACUCUCGGGCACGGGGACAACCAUUCCCUGGGUUUCUCCUCCCUCAGAAAUGGUGUCCUUUGGAGGCUUUUCUCAUGAAAUGUGCCUAUCACCUUGUUUGCUCUUCUCAAAGACCAUUUCAUCCCGCGGUGUAGACAAGAGAGAUCCCAGAGAUGCCACGUGAAGUGAGUGCGUGGCUAGAAGGACAGCUCUUGGGAUGCCUAUGCUCUGGAAUGCCUUGUCUUCGUUGGGUCUGCAAAGUCCAAACCAUGUCCCUCGGUAGGGAAUGGGUUACCAUUUGAUGGGUGAUCCUCCAUGGCCUUAUGCAAUAGUUACACUCCUGCUGUUUACUCUAGGAGCAGGUGACUCUUUCACUCCCAAACCCAGAAGCAAGUGGGAGGUUUGUAGAAAAGCAGGAGUGUUGGCGGGAAGGGUCUCUCUUUGCUUUGAUUUGAAAGGGAAAGCGCCUCGUGCCUGUGGAUUCAAUAUGGCGCCCUCUCCGGCCAGAUCCCUGGUUGUGGGGAAGAAAGACCCCCAUGCGGGUGCCCGCAAAGCUGAAUGGGCAGUAGGGAACUGCCCGUGGUAGGAAGGAAAGGGGGUCUGGACUCCUCAGCCACCCUGUUAUUCUAUAAAUCCCAGAAAUACGGAUGGCAGAUCUCGCCGAGUCUGGGGUCGUCCGCAGCGUUGGUGACGGGGGAAUGGAGAAAGGGAUGACAAAGAGCUUGCUGUCGCGGGGUUGACGUUCCAGGGCAAAGCAUGGCCACGAGGAGGGAACUUGUCAGGGAUGGUGGGGACGCCGAAUGCACAGGAGCAAGGCAGGAAACGGGGGGUCUGCCGGAGCAGGGCUGUGCCCUCCUGGCUACAUGCGUCAGGACGCUCUGACAAGGUCUUACCCAGUAGGACACGGUCGAACAGAUGCAUUGAUGAACCAAGGGAGCCCGUGGAAGAUUCGGGGGGCAUAGGACGCACCGCUGCAAAGCCUUGGGGCAGGGAUGACCUUGGGGUGUGUGGGUCUGGAAGGUUCUAGGACACACAGCAAGCCGUCAAGAAUGCAGAGCAUGGUGGAUGGUGCAGGCUGGCGGGUCCUUCUGAGCUUUGUGGGAGAGUCUGGGCAGUGGGUCACGUGGUCGAGUCUUACCCACCCCAACCCCCCAAAUUCGCCGUGAACGUCGCGACCACGAGGAUGGGCUGGCAGCAGGAAAAGGAAGCAUGGCUGACGCCCACCAUCGGCGGAUAAUUGAGGAAUGAUGGCGGCUUGCCAUCUCUUGGUCGGUCGUCAUGGAGGCCAGGAGAACGGACCCCCUUUGGCAAAACCAUCUGAUGCCUCAGACACGACCAGAGGGCACAGAAUACGGACCCUGGGCACGGUGCGUGCUUGGCGGGGGUGACCUCGAUGCUCCCCGGCAUAGAAUGGACAAACCAGAACACUUUACAAUUAUUUAAUUAUUCAAACCUCCCCUAACCGUUGUAAGAGUUAUUAAUUGUUCAGAAAUCGGGCGACCCCUCGCACCACGCGGGUUUGAAAUGCCUGGGUCCACUUACGUGCAGAUUUUUUCUUUCUUUUUUUUCUGAUGAAUACACGACGGGACUGUGAA